UAUAAAGGGAACCAAGCGGCGCUAUCAAACGGUCUUCUCGGCCGGCAUGUGAUCGCUCCGCCCUACCGAAGAUAAAACUUCACUAUCACAACUGGAUCCUCCUUGCUCUCGCUUAUGCUCAGACCACAACUGGAUCCGAUCAGCAGAACCGCCUCGCCCGACUGUAUCUCGAAUCUGCGCCAUGCCCAAACAAAAGAUGGUCAAUUUUGGUAGAGUCCAAACACACAGGUCAAACAUUAUUUAGUCUAAGCUAAGAUAUCCAAUCUACUUGAUCUGGUCCAAACGCACAGAUCUGUAUCAUUAGUAGUACAAGAUUACUAAACAGCCACCUGUCAUCCGUACAUAGAGAAGAGGCAUCGCAAUCACCUUGGCAUUACAAUUUAGCACGACAGGAUGGUCGUGGGCACGCGGAGCAUGAGAGAGCAGAGGAGAGGAACCGGUAGCUUACGACCUGUGCCGGAAAUCGAAGAAGAAUCCGCCACCGGAGGGGCAGGGCGGGAGGCAACAGAGCGGAAGAAGAAUCCCCAGCGCACACCACAUGGCGGUUUUCCCUGAUGACACAAUUACAUAAGUCAACAACUCAAUCCUGAAUGGUAAUUGUACAUGCAGCAAACAAGAAGUCGAGGAGCGGAUUCCAGAAAAAGGAACAGAGAGACCCCAGGAACUUGCUCUCCUGCCACCCACACAUGCAUCAACAUGAAACCCCAGGUUGGUGCAGUUAAGCGUCCAUGAUUUAAAGUGCAGGAAAUAGCAAUGUAGAGUGGGAGCAAAACCAAACCUCCUCCUCCUGGAGCCAAAGAUUUGGAGGCUGCAUCU
rnacentral:lncRNA from 1 species